GUGCCUUUCACCCUGCUGAAGCAGAGUUAGAAAAGAGGAAGGAAGAGAGAGGUCGGCUGAGAGGGAGAACUGGGAGGAAGAAAAAAAAAAAAAAAAAAAAAGGGGGAAAAGAAGGAAGUCUUGUGGAAUACCAAGAUUCAAGCUUAAAAAUUGUGAGAAAUUCAUCUUCAAGUCACGCGCCAUUGUCUGCCUGAUUUAUCUGAUAUGUCUAGUCUGUCUGAUUUGCUUCUGCAGCCAUCUGUGAUCAGGUGCGUGACCAUGCUUAGAGGCAUCUGCCUAGAAUCUGUUUUGUCAGCCAACCUAUGUGCCUCCCGUGGAGGUUCCGGAUAUGUCAAGUAAUUAUUGCUAAGUAAUUUAAAGUUUAAGUUCUGUUUUCUUUUUUUUUGGUUAAACAAGUCUUGUGUAUUUUGCGAAUAGGGCUAAGUCCUUUUUUGUCUAAUCUGUAUAUAUAUGAUGACUUAAAGAUAAUGUGUAUAUAUGUAUAUAAAAAG